GCAGACCACUGGUACAAUACUUGUUCGAUCGAACAGUGGUAUGAAGCUACGUCUGUUGGAUUAUGCCUGAACGCCUCUAAGGCCGUAACCAAGCUGAACGUAAUAACAUUAAUGGGGCAAUAAUGCAAAACAUCAGGUUUCAUGUACCAUUACAUAUACUUGUAUGGACAGAACCAAAGUUACUGAUGAUGCCUAAUCACGUGGAAGGUUGAUUUAUUAACCAUUUAUAUUAGGCAAUUAUCGUUGUAACAUUUCAUUUUGUAUUUGCCCAGAAUCAAUUGUAAACGACUUUGGUAGAGUAGGGUGCCGCAAGUGUUAGAGCAGCUGCCAUACUGCGAUUCACUCAGGCAUAUCCCUAUCUCGAUGAUUCGC
rnacentral:ncRNA from 1 species